CUAUAUUGUAAUGGACUGAGCCUUUCCCUUUGAGAUUUCGUUAUGUUGUAUUUAAUACUUUGGAUUUGAGAACCCUUGAUUUAUAUCUUGCAUGCGGAUACCCGUGGUGACAACGGGGUAUUCUAUUGAGUCAGUUGAUAUAUGUGUUGGAAAGCAACUUGCGGAUUCCCGCGGUGACAUUGGGGCCAAUAUAUGCACAUGGGUUAGUACACGUUUUCAUGCUACUUUCUCUGAUAUAAACUUUAGGGUACUCUUUGAGGUUCUUUGUGUUGGAUUAAAUAUGACGAAUCUGAAAUUGUUUGAGGCAUGUUGAAUAAUCAACUCAUGGAUACUUGUGGUGACAUUGGAGUGUCGAGGUGACAUUAGAGUUGGUUGAUGUGUAUCAUAGGUGUUAUUUCAGUACAAACUUUAGGGCUGAGGCUGUUUGUGACACUUAUAGGGAUGACUCAAUAGAUUGAUCGAAAAUAAUAACUUUGAGGUGGUUUUACUACCUACAACAAUUUCAUCUUAUGUUCUUCUCUAGAUAAGAACUUUGGAGUGAUUCUUCAUUGCACGUUGAAGGAUGGUUACAUGAUUCAUUUAUGCUAGCACCAUUGAGAGACUGCACUAGUGAAAGUAUGAACCCUAGGCC
rnacentral:lncRNA from 1 species